rnacentral:rRNA from 2 species
CGGUUAAGUUAGAAAGGGCGCACGGUGGAUGCCUUGGCACUAGGAGCCGAUGAAGGACGGGACGAACACCGAUAUGCUUCGGGGAGCUGUAAGCAAGCUUUGAUCCGGAGAUUUCCGAAUGGGGAAACCCACCACUCGUAAUGGAGUGGUAUCCAUAUCUGAAUAUAUAGGAUAUGAGAAGGCAGACCCGGGGAACUGAAACAUCUAAGUACCCGGAGGAAGAGAAAGCAAAUGCGAUUCCCUGAGUAGCGGCGAGCGAAACGGGAUCAGCCCAAACCAAGAGGCUUGCCUCUUGGGGUUGUAGGACACUCUGUACGGAGUUACAAAGGAACGAGGUAGAUGAAGAGGUCUGGAAAGGCCCGCCAUAGGAGGUAACAGCCCUGUAGUCAAAACUUCGUUCUCUCCUGAGUGGAUCCUGAGUACGGCGGAACACGUGAAAUUCCGUCGGAAUCCGGGAGGACCAUCUCCCAAGGCUAAAUACUCCCUAGUGACCGAUAGUGAACCAGUACCGUGAGGGAAAGGUGAAAAGCACCCCGGAAGGGGAGUGAAAGAGAUCCUGAAACCGUGUGCCUACAAGUAGUCAGAGCCCGUUAACGGGUGAUGGCGUGCCUUUUGUAGAAUGAACCGGCGAGUUACGAUCCCGUGCAAGGUUAAGCAGAAGAUGCGGAGCCGCAGCGAAAGCGAGUCUGAAUAGGGCGAAUUGAGUACGUGGUCGUAGACCCGAAACCAGGUGAUCUACCCAUGUCCAGGGUGAAGUUCAGGUAACACUGAAUGGAGGCCCGAACCCACGCACGUUGAAAAGUGCGGGGAUGAGGUGUGGGUAGGGGUGAAAUGCCAAUCGAACCUGGAGAUAGCUGGUUCUCUCCGAAAUAGCUUUAGGGCUAGCCUCAAGGUAAGAGUCUCGGAGGUAGAGCACUGAUUGGACUAGGGGCCCCUACCGGGUUACCGAAUUCAGUCAAACUCCGAAUGCCGAUGACUUAUCCUUGGGAGUCAGACUGCGAGUGAUAAGAUCCGUAGUCGAAAGGGAAACAGCCCAGACCGCCAGCUAAGGUCCCAAAGUAUACGUUAAGUGGAAAAGGAUGUGGAGUUGCUUAGACAACCAGGAUGUUGGCUUAGAAGCAGCCACCAUUUAAAGAGUGCGUAAUAGCUCACUGGUCGAGUGACUCUGCGCCGAAAAUGUACCGGGGCUAAACGUAUCACCGAAGCUGCGGACUGUUCUUCGAACAGUGGUAGGAGAGCGUUCUAAGGGCUGUGAAGCAAGACCGGAAGGACUUGUGGAGCGCUUAGAAGUGAGAAUGCCGGUAUGAGUAGCGAAAGAGGGGUGAGAAUCCCCUCCACCGAAUGCCUAAGGUUUCCUGAGGAAGGCUCGUCCGCUCAGGGUUAGUCGGGACCUAAGCCGAGGCCGAAAGGCGUAGGCGAUGGACAACAGGUUGAUAUUCCUGUACCACCUCCUCACCAUUUGAGCAAUGGGGGGACGCAGGAGGAUAGGGUAAGCGCGGUAUUGGAUAUCCGCGUCCAAGCAGUUAGGCUGGGAAAUAGGCAAAUCCGUUUCCCGUGAAGGCUGAGCUGUGAUGGCGAGCGAAUUAUAGUAGCGAAGUUCCUGAUUCCACACUGCCAAGAAAAGCCUCUAGCGAGGUGAGAGGUGCCCGUACCGCAAACCGACACAGGUAGGCGAGGAGAGAAUCCUAAGGUGAUCGAGAGAACUCUCGUUAAGGAACUCGGCAAAAUGACCCCGUAACUUCGGGAGAAGGGGUGCUCUGUUAGGGUGCAAGCCCGAGAGAGCCGCAGUGAAUAGGCCCAGGCGACUGUUUAGCAAAAACACAGGUCUCUGCGAAGCCGUAAGGCGAAGUAUAGGGGCUGACGCCUGCCCGGUGCUGGAAGGUUAAGAGGAGCGCUUAGCGUAAGCGAAGGUGCGAAUUGAAGCCCCAGUAAACGGCGGCCGUAACUAUAACGGUCCUAAGGUAGCGAAAUUCCUUGUCGGGUAAGUUCCGACCCGCACGAAAGGCGCAACGAUCUGGGCACUGUCUCAACGAGAGACUCGGUGAAAUUAUAGUACCUGUGAAGAUGCAGGUUACCCGCGACAGGACGGAAAGACCCCGUGGAGCUUUACUGCAGCCUGAUAUUGAAUGUUGGUACAGCUUGUACAGGAUAGGUAGGAGCCUUGGAAACCGGAGCGCCAGCUUCGGUGGAGGCAUCGGUGGGAUACUACCCUGGCUGUAUUGACCUUCUAACCCGCCGCCCUUAUCGGGCGGGGAGACAGUGUCAGGUGGGCAGUUUGACUGGGGCGGUCGCCUCCUAAAAGGUAACGGAGGCGCCCAAAGGUUCCCUCAGAAUGGUUGGAAAUCAUUCGCAGAGUGUAAAGGCACAAGGGAGCUUGACUGCGAGACCUACAAGUCGAGCAGGGACGAAAGUCGGGCUUAGUGAUCCGGUGGUUCCGCAUGGAAGGGCCAUCGCUCAACGGAUAAAAGCUACCCCGGGGAUAACAGGCUUAUCUCCCCCAAGAGUCCACAUCGACGGGGAGGUUUGGCACCUCGAUGUCGGCUCAUCGCAUCCUGGGGCUGUAGUCGGUCCCAAGGGUUGGGCUGUUCGCCCAUUAAAGCGGUACGCGAGCUGGGUUCAGAACGUCGUGAGACAGUUCGGUCCCUAUCCGUCGCGGGCGCAGGAAAUUUGAGAGGAGCUGUCCUUAGUACGAGAGGACCGGGAUGGACGCACCGCUGGUGUACCAGUUGUUCUGCCAAGGGCAUCGCUGGGUAGCUAUGUGCGGACGGGAUAAGUGCUGAAAGCAUCUAAGCAUGAAGCCCCCCUCAAGAUGAGAUUUCCCAUUCCGCAAGGAAGUAAGAUCCCUGAAAGAUGAUCAGGUUGAUAGGUCUGAGGUGGAAGUGUGGCGACACAUGGAGCUGACAGAUACUAAUCGAUCGAGGACUUAACCAAUUU